UUGGUCAUAUAUUGAGGCACGAAG
rnacentral:piRNA from 1 species